UUCCUGAAAUAAACAUAUUUUCAGUUAAAAGAAUAUUUUAUAAUGAAGUUCAUUCAGACCUCAAGUUCUUAUUAAAGAAAGCACUGUGUGAUAUACAGUCUUCCUAGAUGGAAAUUUUACUUUAGCAGUACCUCUGGUUUCUGACAUUUUAGAUUUUGCAUGUACAUAUUUAAAAGUAUUAUCUCUAAAAUCAAAAGUUCAGAAUCUCAGAAUUUACAAAUUAAUUUAAAUGAAAUCCAGUAUUUUGACACAGUUGUAUAUACUGUACUGCAAUCUUAUGGAAUGAUUGUCUUUUGAGAGUCAUGAAUUAUAUAAUAAACAAUCUCUCUUUCUGUUCAGGAUUCUACAAGACCAUAUAAGAAGGAUAUCAAACUCAAAAUGUCAUAAGAGCCACAUGAGAACCAUCCUGGGGGCCACAAUAGGAACCUCUUCACUUAUUAAAAAAACAUUUCUACAUGCCACUGAGUGUUUGAAAGUCAUUACUGUUACAAGUUACCUCUCCAUCUACAUUGUAUGACAAAGGAUCAAAGGAAGACUCAUUCAAACUCUUUGGGGAAGCAUGAGGCAAAAGAAGACAAUUAAAAACAACGUGGCUUACAAUCACCAGCCAAAACAAUGCUGGAGGCUUAGACUGCUUUGCUUCGAAGAACUAUACUGCGACUCUAGCCGUAGAGGAAAUCUCUUUCAAGAUAUAUUCUGAGGGUAAAAUAAUCAAUUCUUUCAGCUAAACUCUCGAUUCAAAUUAAUGCUUCACAAUAAGAUGAAAUUGUUUCAUUUCAAAUACGCUUGGUAAUAGAAAAAAGAGAAUACGAACUAUAUAAAUGCUUGUCACACAUUUUUAAAAUAUUAACAUGAAGA